CCCUUAGAUGUCCUGGGCUGCACGCGCGCUACACUGAUGUGUCCAGUAAGCACCUAACCUCUUCCGAAAGGAACGGGUAACCUUUGCAAAGCACAUCGUGAUGGGGAUAGAUUAUUGCAAUUAUUAGUCUUGAACGAGGAAUUCCUAGUAAGCACAAGUCAUCAGCUUGUGUUGAUUACGUCCCUGCCCUUUGUACACACCGCCCGUCGCUCCUACCGAGGGGGUGAUCCGGUGAAUGAUUCGGACUUUGGCAUUGCUAUGUUUCAUAGCAUUGCUGGGGGAAGUCUUGUGAACCUUAUCACUUGGAGGAAGGAGAAGUCGUAACA
rnacentral:rRNA from 1 species